rnacentral:pre_miRNA from 1 species
AGAGAGACAGCUCGGUCAAAUGGUGGUUCCAAUCCCAAUUUUCUAAGGAAUGUCCAUACUGCUUUCCAUAUUGGCUGCACCAAUUUGCAUUCCCACCAGCAGU